CCCUCACUUUAGGGGUGUUUAUCCCGUACACGGGAUAAGCUGAGAUGAUACCCUCAGUACCUGAAGCAGCUCAUACUGCCGUAGGGAAAAGUAACUGAACUUUC
rnacentral:ncRNA from 2 species